rnacentral:rRNA from 1 species
GGCAUCUUUUUGUUUUUAAAAGACCUUCUUACGAAGGUAUGCUUAAAGAGGGGCUUGCGCCACAUUAGUUAGUUGGUAGAGUAAAAGCCUACCAAGACGAUGAUGUGUAGCUGGACUGAGAGGUUGAACAGCCACAUUGGGACUGAGACACGGCCCAAACUCCUACGGGAGGCAGCAGUAGGGAAUUUUCGGCAAUGGAGGAAACUCUGACCGAGCAACGCCGCGUGAACGAUGAAGUAUUUCGGUAUGUAAAGUUCUUUUAUUGAAGAAGAAAAAGUAGUGGAAAAACUAUAUUGACGUUAUUCAAUGAAUAAGCCCCGGCUAACUAUGUGCCAGCAGCCGCGGUAAGACAUAGGGGGCGAGCGUUAUCCGGAAUUAUUGGGCGUAAAGGGUGCGUAGGCUGUUAGAUAAGUCUAUAAUUUAAUUUCAGUGCUUAACGCUGUCUUGUUAUAGAAACUGUCUUGACUAGAGUGAGAUAGAGGCAAGCGGAAUUCCAUGUGUAGCGGUAAAAUGUGUAAAUAUAUGGAGGAACACCAGAAGCGUAGGCGGCUUGCUGGGUCUUUACUGACGCUGAGGCACGAAAGCGUGGGUAGCAAACAGGAUUAGAUACCCUGGUAGUCCACGCCGUAAACGAUGAGUACUAAGUGUCGGGGUAAAACUCGGUACUGAAGUUAACACAUUAAGUACUCCGCCUGAGUAGUACGUACGCAAGUAUGAAACUUAAAGGAAUUGACGGGACUCCGCACAAGCGGUGGAUCAUGUUGUUUAAUUCGAAGAUACACGAAAAAUCUUACCAGGUCUUGACAUACUCUGCAAAGCUAUAGAAAUAUAGUGGAGGUUAUCAGGGAUACAGGUGGUGCAUGGUUGUCGUCAGUUCGUGUCGUGAGAUGUUAGGUUAAGUCCUAAAACGAACGCAACCCUUGUCGUUAAUUGCCAGCACAUAAUGGUGGGGACUUUAACGAGACUGCCAAUUAAACAUUGGAGGAAGGUGAGGAUUACGUCAAAUCAUCAUGCCCCUUAUGAUCUGGGCUACAAACGUGAUACAAUGGCUGUGACAAAGAGUAGCUGAAACGCGAGUUUUUAGCCAAUCUCAAAAAAGCAGUCUCAGUUCGGAUUGAAGUCUGUAACUCGACUUCAUGAAGUUGGAAUCGCUAGUAAUCGCGAAUCAGCAUGUCGCGGUGAAUACGUUCUCGGGGUUUGUACACACCGCCCGUCAAACCACGAAAGUUAGCAAUGCCCGAAAGCAGUAGCUUAACUUCGCAAGAAGAGGGAACUGUCUAAGGUAGGGUUGAUGAUUG